UACGAAGGGGACUAGCGUUGUUCGGAUUUACUGGGCGUAAAGGGCGCGUAGGCGGCGUGUCAAGUCGAUUGUGAAAUCUCCGGGCUUAACUCGGAACGGCCAAUCGAUACUGACGUGCUAGAGUGCAGAAAGGGCAAUCGGAAUUCUUGGUGUAGCGGUGAAAUGCGUAGAUAUCAAGAGGAACACCUGAGGCGAAGGCGGGUUGCUAGGCUGACACUGACGCUGAGUGCGCGAAAGCCAGGGGAGCAAACGGG
rnacentral:rRNA from 1 species